GAAUGAGAAGCCCGGCUUAUGUAAUGCUGGUAGAGCUUAGCUGCACAUUCAGAUUGUAUUUAAGGCAAAGCUUAACAUGCAGAUGAGGUUUUACAAUUCUUCAUCCCUCCUGUUCUUCCUUGUUUCCCUAUAAUGGAUUUUGAUUUAUUUGAUAAUGGGAUCAGACUUCUCUCCUCUGUAUCAUCAGGAACCUUUACAAGUUUUCUGCUAAGGGAAGGGAUAGCAAGAUUUGCAUUAUGGGGCUUUUUUGUUAUCUUCCCUCCACUGCAACUGAGAUUUGAGAAACCAUGCAUGUGAGUGUCUGUCUGUGUAAGCAAUGUGGUGAUGAUCACUUUGAUCAGCCCUGGUACCAGCACUGCCAGCCCUUUUCCCACUGCACGCAGGAGCACAUCCCAUAAAUCCGGAGUGACUGCAGCCAGCCAUCUGCAAGGGAGCCAACAUUCAGCUGCAACGAGCAGCACCUGAAUUUGGAAGCCUUUUCCAAGGGCUCAGACCAAGGGAUCAGCUGCAUCGAGCAGGUCUCAGAGGAAAGGACUGGCAAACCACCUUCCUAUCGAGCCACAACAGCAGAGGAGAAGGAGGACAGGGCAUCAGGAACCAGGGCCAAAAGACCUAAAGAUGUAGUGGCUGCUUGCCCACAAUAAGUUCUUCCAAGGAACCCCACUUGCUGCUGCAGAGAGGCAUCCACCAGAAGCUGACCUCCUUAUCUUGAAUUUCACAUGUAAUGAGUAGCUAAAUCUGACACCAAAUUAUUUUAGGAAGAAAAUUCAAAGUCAAGCCAUUUCCUUUGAAAAAGCCAUUUGAAACCUUUGGGGAACAGAUAUGGAAACAUAAUUUAAAACUCAUUUCCCCACACAAGUGAUUGGGAUUAAUUUCAGUAAAUCCGGUGUUUACUAUGCACAGAACAUCUCCUCUCUCACCACAAGCCCUGGACACUUUGGACUACUCUUUCAUUGGACUACACUUUCAAAAGUGCUCCCUCAUUCUGCUUGUGUAAUUCAGAUUUGGUUUUAUCUGCAAGAAAAUGUCUCUUCAGUUACUGAGCCUGAGCCUGCUGCGGCUGAGGGAGAAAUGCCUGGCCUGGGCUGUGCCACAGGGAAGCAGCAGCACUGCAGUCCCAGCCCGACCCAUGCCAGGGACAGCACCUCUGCUGACCAUACUCAGGGGCUGGGGGAGAAGCUGUGCUGGCUGGCACCAGCUCUGUUGGAAAGCACUGCUUGCAUUUGGAAUGCAAAGCAGACAUGAUUUCAGCACCUGAUCUCUUUGACAACAAAGGCUGUAGAAGAUUAGAAAUACUUAGAUUUGCACUUCAUUAAAAAAUGCAUUUCCCUCUGUAAAA